ACGUUAGCGGCGGACGGGUGAGUAACACGUGGGUAACCUACCUAUAAGACUGGGAUAACUUCGGGAAACCGGAGCUAAUACCGGAUAAUAUUUCGAACCGCAUGGUCCGAUAGUGAAAGAUGGUUUUGCUAUCACUUAUAGAUGGACCUGCGCCGUAUUAGCUAGUUGGUAAGGUAACGGCUUACCAAGGCGACGAUACGUAGCCGACCUGAGAGGGUGAUCGGCCACACUGGAACUGAGACACGGUCCAGACUCCUACGGGAGGCAGCAGCC
rnacentral:rRNA from 1 species